rnacentral:rRNA from 1 species
GACGAACGCUGGCGGCGUGCUUAACACAUGCAAGUCGAACGGAAAGGCCCUUCUUUUGUGGGGUGCUCGAGUGGCGAACGUGUGAGUAACACGUUAGUAACCUGCCCUUGACUUUGGGAUAACUUCAGGAAACUUUGGCUAAUACCGGAUAGGAGCUCCUGCUGCAUGGUGGGGGUUGGAUAGUUUCAGCGGUUGUGUAUGGACUCGCGGCUUAUCAGCUUGUUGUUGAGGUAGUGGCUUACCAAGGCUUUGACGCGUAGCCGGCCUGAGAGGGUGACAGGCCACAUUGGGACGGAGAUACGGCCCAGACUACAACGAGAGACAGCAGUAGGGAAGAGAGCACAAUGGGCGGAAGCAUGAUGAAGGAACGCCGCGUGCGGGAUGAGGGCCUUCGGGUGAUAAACCGGUUUCGACUGUGACGAAGCGUGAGUGAAGGGAAUGGGUAAAGAAGCACCGGCUAACUAAGUG